AAGAAGAGGUUGGUGUUACAUGGAGCAGCAGCACAGUCAAGCAGGGAACAGAUCACGUAAAGCCCUUUAGAGAGUGAAGUCGGCUUUUUAUGCUAGGUGCAACUGGGAGUUCUGAACACGGCAAAGUUGGACAUUCCAAAGAUGGCGUAGAUGAACAUGACCAGGAAGAGCAGGAGGCCGAUGUUAAACAACGCAGGAAGGGACAUCAUCAAAGCAAAGAGCAGCGUGCGGAUCCCCUUUGCUCCUUUGACUAGACGUAGGAUUCGGCCAAUCCUGGCAAGACGGAUCACUCGGAACAGGAGUCUUGCUCUGUUCCCCAGGCUGGAGUGCAGUUGCAUGAUCUCGGCUCACUGC
rnacentral:lncRNA from 1 species